UAGUAUUAGGGUAACCGAUCGUUGACACAACCCACCCGCGGUAGGGGUGAGUUAAUUCCAAAGUGAGAGCGGAUGUCAGCAUUUAGUUCCCCUCAUUUUUUAAGUCGAUUAAUUGGGUUGCGAAGUGCGAUUGUGCAACUCGCGCUUUGAUUUCAUUUUUAUUUUCUUCUUCGUUCAAAGCGAUCACUGCUUCGGCGUCGGCAUUUCCAGUUUAGUUUUGUCACUCUCUGCAAUUUAACCACAUCCCGAAGCUUCUCCUCUGCUUCACAUGGUAUAAGAUUCAGUCUCUAUAGACUUAGAUAUCACUUUCUGAUCGAUUCUAGGGUUCUAUAAUUUCUCUCUUCCUUCGGGUUUUCAUUUGCUUUUAAGAAAUUAGUCCCAUAGAAAUCAACGAUCUCUGUCUCUCUCUUGUCUGCCCAGUCUGGUUUUCCGAUUCUCUUAUCAGCAAAUAAAUUUGGCAGUGGCAUUGUGUCAUCGUCUGUUCUUAGUUCUGAAUUUCGAUUAGCUUUAGGUGCUUUUUGGAGAGUAACUCUUGCAGAUACUUUAAUGGUGCUUUAAGAGUCAAAGCAAACGUGGAGUUUUGGUUCUGCAUGGGUUAAAUGAAGUAGCUUUGAUAUUCAGGAGAGAUAAAAAGUCUGGAAUUGUCAAAUGGUUUUGUACUGAUUUCUCAGUAAUUGUCCGAGGGGGAAUCAAUGCUGGGACUGUUUGAAAAACACUAUCGAUUGAAGAAUAUAAAGGAUUAUUGGGGAAGGAAAACGAGAGGAACGAUGACUGUGGCUUGAAUAUUUAUGUUGAAUUUUGAAAAUGACUUUUGAGUAAAGACUAAGUGAACUUGGCUGACUGCUUGAUCUCUAAUUGAUCCUUAUGACUUUGGAAGGAUUCAGUUGGUAACAACACUCUAAUGGGACAUAUUUCUAAGAAGAAAAAAAGAAGUGGUGGGGGUGGACGGAAGAGUAAGGGCAGGGUUCCUUCUAAAGAUCAUGUUUGUAAUGUGGGUGACGAUGGUGAUGUCCUUUCUGACGAGCUGACUGCCCUGGCUGCCAUAUUUCAAGAAGACUUCGAAGUUGUUUCAGAUUCACCACCUCAAUUCAUUAUAAAAAUAAGGCCUUACUCCAAGGAUACAGAAUCUGAGGAUCUCUCUGUUUCAGCUCUUCUUAUAGUAAGGUGCUUGCCAGGCUAUCCAUAUAAAUGUCCAAAGUUGCAGAUAACACCAGAGAGGGGAUUAUCAAAAGAUGAUGCUGAUAAACUUCUGGCUUUGCUUUAUGAUCAGGCAAAUUUUAAUGCUCGGGAAGGACGUGUUAUGAUUUUCAAUCUUGUGGAGGCUGCUCAGGAGUUCCUAUCAGAAAUUGUUCCUAUGGGCCAAUCUAAUGAAUCCGUUUCGUGCAGCAAUUUGGAUGGAGGGGAGAAAUGUCUUAAUGGCGAUGUCAGUAUUGCUUCUAACAAGACUUGCUCUUCUAGAGGACCUUUUGUCUAUGGUUUGGUUGAUCUGUUCAAAUGUCUUGGUGGGCCAUGGAAUUGGGGCCUUGGAGUGGACAAAGAUCGGGGUGGAAAUUCUCCAACAUUAAAUCAUGCAUUGAAUACUGCAAAAAUUGAAUAUAUGGUUGCAGAGAAGCAGUUUUUUCCAAUUGGAAGGCCUACAGUAAUGCAAGAUACAUUUCACCGUCCAGUAUCAUUGCCUACUGUAAAAUUAGAUGCUCUUAAAGAAGAAAGUGAAGAUGAAGAAACUAGGAUAUCUAAUUCUAGUAUGUCACUGGUGGAGGAGUUAUUGGCAUCCAGUACAUCAUUCAAGGAUGUCGAAGAGAAGGAGCUUAUUUCCAAGGAGGAAAUAGAAGUAGUUGAUGAUAGGAAUUCAGAAACCGGGUCUUCAGAAUCAUUAAUGUCUGAUUCUGUCAUACAUGAUCAUGUGUCUCAUACAAUUGAAAAGGAUCUAAUUAUGGUUCAUUUGCUUCGCCUUGCUUGUGCUUCUCAAGGUGUAUUAGCCAAUGGGUUGCCAGAAAUAGCGUCAGAGUUGCACAAUCUAGGGCUUUUGUCAGAUAGGGUUCGGGAUUUGGUUACUAACCGUUCGUGGAUGUUUAACAAAGCCUUUAGGCAUGUUUUCCAGCAGCACAUGGUUUCAUCCCCAAUUGCUCAAUUUUGGAAAGCUACUACAGAUUUUGGUGGACAGAAUACUUCAUCUCCUCCAAGUUCCCGAUACCUCAGUGAUUUUGAGGAGCUCCGUCCACUUGGACAUGGGGGAUUUGGUCGUGUUAUGUUGUGCAGAAAUAAGCUAGAUGGAAGACAAUAUGCUGUGAAGAAAAUUUACCUGAUGGACAAGAGUCCUCCUGUUAACAAUAGAAUAUUGAGGGAGGUAGCUACACUUUCCCGUUUGCAGCAUCAACAUGUCGUCCGAUACUAUCAGGCAUGGUUUGAAACAGAAGUUGGUGGUUCUCAUGGUGAUACCUUCUGGGGUUCAAGAACUGGUGGGAGCUCCAGUUGCAGCUACAGGGCGGUGAGCUCAAGAAAUGCUACUGGACCUGAGAACAAAGUUGAAUCAACAUACCUUUACAUACAAAUGGAAUAUUGUCCUGGGACUCUGCGUCAAGUCUUUGAGUCAGACAGCAGCAAUUUUCAGAAGGAAAAUGCAUGGCAUUAUUUUCGCCAAAUUGUUGAAGGACUGGUUCACAUUCAUGGACAGGGAAUCAUUCAUCGUGAUUUGACACCAAGUAACAUAUUUUUUGAUGCUCGAAAUGACAUUAAAAUUGGAGAUUUUGGUCUUGCAAAAUUCUUGAAGCUGGAACAGGUUGAUCAUGAUCCACUUUUCCCACCUGAUACAGUUGGAGUUUCAGUGGAUGGAACUGGUCAAGUGGGCACCUAUUUCUACACUGCACCUGAAAUUGAGCAAGGGUGGCCAAAAAUUGAUGAAAAGGUUGACAUGUACAGCUUAGGAGUUGUAUUCUUUGAGCUGUGGCACCCUUUUGGUACAGCGAUGGAAAGGCACAUUGUUCUUUCUGAUCUGAAACAAAAUGGAGCACUUCCUUCUACAUGGGAAGCUGAAUUUCCUGAGCAAGCAUCCUUAUUGUGGCGCUUAAUGUCUCCUAGUCCAUCAGAUCGUCCAUCUGCUACUGAACUUCUGGAGAAAGAAUUGCCUCCGUCGCCUCCUCAGGGGGAAAACCAGUGGUUAGAUGAAAUUCUACAAAGGAUGCAGACUUCCGAGGACAGAGGUGUUUAUCAUAAGGUUGUAAAUGCUAUUUUUCUGACCCAUCAACACAACAUUGGGAGUGCGGAAUUGGCCAGAGACACUUCUUCCUUCAUCCAGUACACAGAGAUAGACACUGAAUUCCGUGAUAAUGUUGUUGAGGUUGCAAAAGAAGUGUUCAGGCAGCAUGGUGCAAAGCGGAUGGAGAUAACACCAAUGAGUUUUUUGGAUGAUAAGCAGCAAUUUCAUAGGGAUGGAGUGAAACUUCUUUCCUGUGAAGGAGAUAUGCUUGAGCUAUGUCACGAACUGCGAUUACCUUUUGUUAAUUGGGUUGUAAAAAACCAGGUAGCAUCAUUCAAACGGUAUGAAAUAUCAUGGGUUUAUAGGGAAGGAAUUUGUCAGUCACCCCCAGAUCGUUAUCUUCAGGGAGACUUUGACAUUAUUGGAGGUGCAUCAAUAUUGACAGAGGUAGAGGUUAUUAAGGCAACAAUGGAUGUCAUAUCUCGAUUUUUUCAGCUGGAUUCUUGUGAUAUUCGUAUAAACCAUGGUGAUUUAUUGGAAGCAAUGUGGACUUGGAUAGGAAUUGAGGCUGAUCUUAGACACCGUGUGUCAGAGGUUCUCUCUAUCAUGGGGUCUUUGCGUCCUCAGUCCCCAGAACGUAAAUCAAAAUGGGUUUUUGUACGGCGACAACUUUUGCAGGAUCUUAAUUUGGCAGAGGCUGUUGUGAAUAGAUUACAGACAGUAGGAUCAAGGUUCUGUGGAACAGCAGAUCAGGCCCUCCCAAGAUUAAGGGGAGCCCUUCCCCCAGAUAAAUCCACGCUCAGGGCUCUUGAGGAAUUAGCUUCCCUCUGCAGCUACCUUAGAGUUUGGAGGAUUGAGAAACAUGUUUUCAUAGACACCCUUAUGCCACCUACAGAGGGUUAUCACAGAGAGAUAUUUUUUCAGAUAUACUUCAAUAUUGGAUCAUCUACCGAAGAAGUUCUGCUUGCUGUUGGAGGUCGCUAUGAUCAUUUGCUUCAUCAAAUGUGGGAUAAUAAUUCUAAAUCAAAUCCACCAGGUGCUGUUGGGACCAGCCUUGCUCUAGAGUCAGUCAUUCAGCACUCUUCUGUGGAGAUCAAGCCUUCUAGACAUGAAGCUGGCAUUAAUGUUCUUAUUUGUUCAAGAGGUGGGGGUGGUUUGGUUGAAGAGCGAAUGGAAAUUGCUGAUGAGUUAUGGCGAGCAAACAUCAAGGCUCAAUUUGUCCCAAUAUCAGAACCAAGCCUCACGGAACAGUACGAAUAUGCAAAUGAGCAUGAUAUUAAAUGCCUUGUCUUCAUCACUGACACCGGUGUGUCUCAGACAGGCUCUGUCAAGGUCCGUCAUCUUGAACUGAAGAAGGAGAAGGAAAUAGAGAGAGAGGGGCUUGUAAAGUUUCUGACGGAUGCCGUGGCCACACAGUUCAGGAACCUCUCAAUUUGGAGUUGAAUAGGUGUCUAUGGAUCAUGUUUUGGAGUCAGAAUCCAAUUCAGUGAGAUUUGGCCAUUGACACACUGAAACCUUCCAAUAGGCCUAUACAGACUGGGAGUUUUUUCUUGUUGGAAAGAUGUUCAUGCCUAAGCGGAUGUCAACGACUACAAUCUCCACGGCUUUAGCAUCAGCUUGGGGGGGGCUUGAGAUAACUUUCUCACAGGUACAGAAGCUUUAGUAGUAGGCAGUGGUAAAGGUUUUGUGGCUAGUGGCGGUCCCAAAAGACCAAUGGAAUUGGAAGAUUGCAGAGGUUUCCAAGAAUUCUUGAGAUCAAUAUAUUUUUGUUCAUGUAGCUUUGCCAAAUCCAUUGCUUGUAAUAAGGAUGUAGGUUGAGCAAUUAACAGCUCUCGUUUCAAUUCAGGUUUUAGUCCAGAAAUGAAAAAACUGAUUAGAAAUGGCUCAGAUAGACCACUUACCUUAUAGGACAGGUUCUCAAAUUGUUCUUGAUAAGCUAUAACAGUGGAGGUCUGCUACAAUUUGGCAAGGGCUCCUUUGUGAUCCUCAAAUAGAGAUUGCCCAAA